rnacentral:rRNA from 1 species
UCGAGGAUCUUCGGCAAUGGGCGCAAGCCUGACCGAGCGACGCCGCGUGCGCGAUGAAGGCCUUCGGGUUGUAAAGCGCUGUCGAGGGGGAGGAAAGCCCGCAAGGGCCUGACCUAUCCCUGGAGGAAGCACGGGCUAAGUUCGUGCCAGCAGCCGCGGUAAGACGAACCGUGCAAACGUUGUUCGGAAUCACUGGGCUUAAAGGGCGCGUAGGCGGGUUCCCAAGUCGGUGGUGAAAUCUUUCGGCUCAACCGGAAAACAGCCGCCGAUACUGGGAGUCUCGAGGGAGGUAGGGGCCGAUGGAACUUCCGGUGGAGCGGUGAAAUGCGUAGAUAUCGGAAGGAACGCCGGUGGCGAAAGCGAUCGGCUGGACCUCUUCUGACGCUGAGGCGCGAAAGCCAGGGGAGCAAACGG